rnacentral:lncRNA from 1 species
GAUCGAUUGACGUGCAUGUGCUUAUAAUAUGACCUAAUUAGAAUCCAUGAUCAUCACCUAUUUAAAGUUUAGCUUUAUUUAUUGCUGCGAUUAUAACUGCCUGCGAUGUGCCGUUUGCAUGUGAUGUAAAUGAGAGCGGGGUAGAUAGGUUUACAUGUGAUGUAGCAAACCCAAUGAGACCUAAACUAAAACCUUCUCAAUCAAGUCGAGAGUGAACCAACAUGAGCGAGUCAUAUUAGAUUCAUUG